rnacentral:tRNA from 1 species
GGGCCCAUAGCUCAAUGGUUAGAGCAGAGCACUCAUAAUGCUUUGGUUCUCGGUUCAAGUCCGAGUGGGCCCACCA